GGGCGUAGAGCAGGAGCAAGCUGUGGGCCAGUUGGUGGAGCCCAUCACGUAACUUCGGGAACCACUGCAGCACCUUAGCUAUACACACAGGGCUAAGUAGCUAUGACCUUUAUCCACAAACUUCACUUCUGUACUGACGGAAAGCAUUAAAAUGUUACUUUUUGAGCUGGCAAAACGGUGGACUUCUAUAACGAUUUCUUUUCUCCUUGAGAAGUAGAUAGAGGAUCUGAGGACAGCAGCCAUAAGCCAUGGCCUGCUUUGAAGACCAGCAGAUGGGAGAGAUAGGCAUCCUGAGACAUUCUUUCUUUGGUAUCCUCAACACUACUAUCACUAUGUUUGUUG
rnacentral:lncRNA from 1 species